AUUGAACGCUGGCGGCAGGCUUAACACAUGCAAGUCGAGCGGGGUGAUGGUGCUUGCACUAUCACUUAGCGGCGGACGGGUGAGUAAUGCUUAGGAAUCUGCCUAUUAGUGGGGGACAACAUCUCGAAAGGGAUGCUAAUACCGCAUACGUCCUACGGGAGAAAGCAGGGGAUCACUUGUGACCUUGCGCUAAUAGAUGAGCCUAAGUCAGAUUAGCUAGUUGGUGGGGUAAAGGCCUACCAAGGCGACGAUCUGUAGCAGGUCUGAGAGGAUGAUCCGCCACACUGGGACUGAGACACGGCCCAGACUCCUACGGGAGGCAGCAGUGGGGAAUAUUGGACAAUGGGGGGAACCCUGAUCCAGCCAUGCCGCGUGUGUGAAGAAGGCCUUAUGGUUGUAAAGCACUUUAAGCGAGGAGGAGGCUCUUUUGGUUAAUACCCAAGAUGAGUGGACGUUACUCGCAGAAUAAGCACCGGCUAACUCUGUGCCAGCCGCCGCAGUAA
rnacentral:rRNA from 1 species